rnacentral:lncRNA from 1 species
AACACCUAACAUGUGAAAUAGACCACAAGGCUCUACAAUGGAGAUCCUUUUAUCCCUCAACCAAUAUCAACAAGAAACUACCCAAAAUGUUUCAUUAACCCCACAUACUACAACUUUGUAUCACAUGCAUGGCCUAUUUCCAACCCCUCAAUAUAUUUGAACUCAUAACCUCUUGUAUGAAAGCUUGGAAGUAGGACUUACCCGGAUGAAGGAUAAUCUAGUGAUUGACUUCCUUGAUUCUUGAAGAUUGGUGCAAGAUUGGAUGAUUGGGAGGUUAGGUUUUCUACUUCUCUCUCUCUAAAAUGCUCUCACCUCUCUCUAGACUCACCAGAAAAUCCUCCCAAAUAAAGCCCCAAAUGUUAUUUAUUAAAAUAGGGUCGGCUGUAAAAACCCCAAAAUUUGCACAGCCGCGCCACAUGGGGCGCGACGCAGUAGUGGAAAAAUGUGCCUAGAAACGAAAUUUUAAAGUGUUCUGGAAAUCCCCACAGGCGCACAGCAUGGGGCGGCGCAGUAGUGUAGAAUUCUGCCAGCUUUUGGUAAAUUGGUCAUAACUUCUUGUAGGAGUGUCCAAAUGAGGAACGGUUUAAAGCUUUAGAAAGUAGACUCGAAGAUCUUUCAUUUGACAGGUUGUUAAUCACAUUAGAUAUGCUCGUCUAAAGUUUGGUCUUGUACGUACUCAUUUGUAACUUUAGUUUAUCAUGAACCUUUCGAACUUGUCNNNNNNNNNNNNNNNNNNNNNNNNNCAUCAUAUUAAUAGACCUCGUCUGCAUACAAAGUAAUAUAAUUAGCACACAUCAACUUUCUUAAUAGCGCUUAAGUACUUCAAAAAAUUUUGGGGUACUACAUUCUCCCCCACUCAGGAUCAUUCAUCCUCGAAUAAGAAGUAGAGUCGACCCCAACACUGAACAUAGCUUAACUAUUUUAUCACACACCUCAAGCUCCCAAAUUUUUGACUAUCUCUCAAAUUUUUCAGAAAUUUCGGCAGAGUUUCCCUUGUAAUUUGGCAUAUCCACCUGCCAGAGAAUCACCAAAACCACCCUAACAAUAUAUUCUUUUCUCAACAAAGCAUCAUAAUAUAUAUCAACAACACUGAUAUCAAUAUUACAAGCAUUAUAUCAUCAAAAUUGAUAUCCGGACAUGAGUUGUACCUAUUUAAAUCAUAACACAUAGAAAAUUCCUUUCGACCCACAAUUAUUUGACUAUACAACCAAGGGGGGACAUUUUCUUUCCUUAACAAUUUCGGCCUUCGAGGUGGGCUCCUCGACUCACAGACUUUGCCAUAACACAUUCACGAAGGCAAUCUCAAUUCCCAAACUUAUCUAACAAGGAUGACAAUUAAGUACCUCUCAUAGAUCAAUUAUCCAUUUACUUUACCUCCACUAGCUUUCACCGGAAUGAUAGACAAAGAAUUCCAACUACCUUCUUAGACACAGUCACAUAAAACACCAGGUACAUGGAGGAAAAUAAUAGGGAAAUAUCAUACCCAUAGUUUGGCAUAUUUCCUUUAGGAUUUCAUAAGGCCUAAUGUGACUGCACAUACUUUACCCUUAUUAGAAAUUCACAUAACAUCCUCAUGGAGAAAAUAUUGAGAAUAACCCAUUAACUUUCUUCAACUUUAAAUCUCUACGCCGAGCACCCAAACUAAAUCACGGGAUGAUGCUUCUUCUUUGACAUGUUUGAACAUUCAACCCCCAUAGAUUUAAUACAAGGAGGAGCAACGGGGUUCGAGGUUUGGCUGGAAUUAUUCAAGAGUCCAUCAAUGGGCUGAGCAGAGUAUUUCAUGAGGUUAUAUAUCCUAAAAGACAUGAAGCUUACUACUGAUAACACUGUCAAGAUUAAUCAUAGUGAUGACAUCAUUGAUUCGACAAAUGAGGCAUAGAGUUAACUAGUAUAUCAGCAAUAGAAAUUCUUAAGGAAGAAUAGUUAAGUACGUGACACCAGUUACCUACUUGAGUGUAGGGAAAAAUUAUUUAAUUCGAAAUGAGAAUAUUCUGGCACCCUGAAUGUGAUAUGGGUUUCAAAAUACAUGAAGUUGCAUUAUGCUCUUAACAGUAACUAGCACAAGAAAUCUAUGCCACAAGCCUACAAGGAUGAAAAAGAAGUUGAACACUUGUGAGAUUAUUAUCAUUCUGACAGCUUAACCUCUUUCUGAUAGUUGAUCAUAUAUGAGAGAACUAGAGAUGCGACAAACUUGUCUUUCAAAUCAAUAUACUCAUGAUAUAUGCCAAAAUCUGGAAGCAUCUAAUUUCAACCUUUCACGAGUGAAACCACAUAGCUGGGACAUCUAAAUAUUUGGGAUAAAAUCAUGUAUUAGUUAGAGAAAAUGAACACUUUUCUAUGAGAUAGACAUAUUUCUGCCAUAAUAAUUCUCAAACUGCAAUACCAUGCCACUUCAUGGGCACUUACAAUACUAGGAACAAAGUGAGCUACUUACUAUGAGACUAUGCUCUCAUGUUACUAGACAGUGGAAAGGUUCCAUGAUAAUACUCACAAAGGAGUAGAGUGAUUGUUCAAACCAUAUGAGUCACAUAUACCAGAGAAAGAAAGAGUGGCUUAAGAAGGAUCUCAACACUAGGAUGCCUUACACUGGAUUUUAUACCACAUAGGUAAAUUUUACGAUGGUGCAUGCAUAAGCACAAGUUAGCAGAUGUUAUCCAUUUGAUUGGAAAGGUUCUGUAAGAAAUUCAUCAGGUAUAGUCCCUUGUUGAGAUUUUAGGAAAGCAAGUAGGAAGUAUUACCCUAGGAUUAUAACUCAAUUCAAAGAAAUCGUUAUAGAUUCCAAUGCCUCAAGAGGUUGCAAGUACGAUAAUUAUGAUAAAGAGGUUUCACGAAUGAUACGUUCGUUUUAAAGAGUAGAUACAGAAAAUGGCUCAUAAGGUUAUUCCGGCUCUAUCCCAAAUGUCAUAGCAAUAUAAGGAUUUGACAUAUGACAAAGUGGAACCGGAUCAACAAAAGCAUGUACAUCAUGAGAUUGGACAGUCAAUAUACUUGUAACCACAUCUGAAGAAGACUCAAACUUUCGACGCCUCCUCAUAGCAUAAAACCUGUUGGGUCCUCACGAGCUCUGAAUACCACCCCUAGCUGCUCCAAGCCCUGCGGGCGUUAUAGUGCCUCGAGCUGGGGGAGGCGCUGUGGAUGUAGUAGCUACAGAACUGGUUGGAUGUGCCACACCCCUGCCGAUGCUCUGGCGAGACAAAUAACAAUCUCUUUGAAUGUGACCCGUCAUACCACACUUGUAGCAUACAUUGGUACCAUAGUGACAUACUCCCGGAUGACAUCUCCCAUACUUCACACAAACGGGGAUGAGGUCCACUAAACUUACUUGCCUCACCGACCUGGUAUUUACCCUUUUUGCAUACAUCAUAAGCAUCGCCCUUAUCCUUUCUCCAAGCUUCCAAUGCGGGAGUAACAAUUCCAGUACCGGUUUGUUGUGUGGGCCUUUGGAAUUGCCCAGAUCUACCACCCCAAACAUGUUGCUGAGCAUACUCACAACACGAAGCCAAAUGUUCCUUCCCACAUAUCGGCCAGACCGGGAUCGGUGUACCCAACGUAGGGCAUUUGUUCUUCUUGGGCCCCUUCUUUCCACAACCAUAACAUAUUUCAAAAGUGACCCAACAUAAACCCAAGUGGUGCUUCUUACAAAUGAAACGAUCCGGCUUAUUAGAGCCGACAAACCUCUUUUUUUCUUAGGUGCCCUCACCACAUGAUCUGAUGGCAUGGUGACAUUAAUAGGAGCAAGAACACUUCCCCUAGCAACUGGUUUUUUCAUUCCCUCCUUGCUGACUCGAACUCGAGGGUUACUCAUCCGAAAAAUGAGACAUAGCGAGGAGAUUAGCUUCUUAUCUUGGGCUCUAUCGCAUGAUAUGGAAUAUCAAAGAAGUGUGAAAUUUUCUAAAUGUCCGAGUAGCCUCCUCAUUAUAGAUGUGGUCGACAACACACCGAUAAGAAGGACUCUACUAGACACGGCUCUGAGACAUCCUAGGACACUUUAAAACCUUAGGCUCUGAUACCAAAUUUGUCACGCCUCAAAUUUGGGAAGCGCGAUCGGCGCUCAACCGAGUGAACCCAGUCAAGCAAGCUUGUUAGAUACUUUUUACCCAACUCACCCAUGAUCAAGAGAAGAUAUAGUUUCAUUAAUUAGACAGUAGGAAGAUUAUGUAUACAAUACUAAAUCAUUUCAUUAGUUACAUCACUUUUAAGUCUCAAAAUAUAUACAUGCUUAUGGUUUGAGUGGACCAAAUGAUCAAAACACAACAUAACUUGUUCGACUUAUCUAGCACCUAUGUACAACCCACAUUGUGUCAACAGAGCCUCUAAAAGAUAUAAAAUAGUGUUAUAAUAGUGCCGGCAACAAGGCUCCGAUUAUACCUCAAAAGGUGAUAAUAAUAUGAAAAAAGAUAUAAUACAUGAUCCCGAGAUAAAGUGGGGCUCACCAAGUCUGCUGGGAAGAGGAGGUACCACUAUCGCUGAUCAAUACUGCCUGCUAUGAAACCACCUGCAUCCAUUUAAAGAUGCAGCGCCCCCGGCAAAAGGAACGUUAGUACUGUCGAAUAAUACUAGAAUGUAAAACUAAAUACCAUCUCAAUAUAAUGAAUAAUAACACAAAGAGGAACAGUCAUGAAUUCAAUAGGAGCUUCAAACAGUACUAAAUCAUCAAGUUAAGAACCACAUAAGUUUUCAAGUCAAUUUCCAUGUUAUUAGGUUGGGUGAUCUUUAGUGCCGAUAUGCCACAAUUCACAAUACCAUCGUAUUCUUACACGGAGUCCAAUCACGACCCGAUCGGCUAGGUCGUCUCAUUUGAGACAUCAACCAUAACCACAAUUUUAAUUAUAAUUUCCAGCACAGUCACCACCAUGUAUGAGGCAUGGCGUCCUAUCAUGGCCCGAUCGGCUAGGCCGUCUCACCCGAGACAUUACCUUUUCAAAUCAAUCAUCUCACUACAUACUUCUUUCACCUCUUUUCAAUUCAUUGGCACAAGUGGCCAUAAUUAUAAAGUCAUUCUUGGCACUUGGCCGUAUUUCUUAAUUCCAGUUCCCCGUUACACAUUCAAACAUCAUUAUCAUCAUCAUCAUCAACAACAAUAAGGCUUUUCAUUCAAGACAUUCAAUACACAUAUGAGCAAUUAGGGAAUCUUUGGCGUAUAGAGGCUUUUCAUACAAUUUGGCAUAACAUCCUUUAUUCUAUCUUGACUUGAAGUCUUAACAUUUUAACACAUAUUCCAUAUCUUUAACACAUCCUCAAAUGAUAAGAUGACAUGAUGAAGCAUGUAGAAUACAUAUUGAACAUAUAUCCUUCAACAUGCAACAUUCAGAAUAGCCAAUUCUAUAAUGAUCAAUUUGGGACUUAGACCAAUCACACGAACACCGUGGGAUUCAAUUCUAAGAAUAAGGGGUUCAGCCAACAUACCUUGUCCGAGCUUUCCUUAAGUUACUACAAUGCCCCAACACUUAUAGCAAUAACAAUCUAUGGGAAGAUAGUGAAAAUCGAUUAAUAUUUAGAAGGAUUUUCAUGAUGUAACUCUCUUAGGAAUUUUGUCAAACACCUAACAUGCGAAAUAGACCACAAGGCUCUACAAUAGAGAUCCUUUCAUUUCUCAACCAAUAUCAACAAGAAACUACCCAAAAUGUUUCAUUAACCCCACAUACUACAACUUUGUGUCACAUGCAUGGCCUAUUUCCAACCCCGCAAUAUAUUUGAACUCAUAACCUCUUGUAUGAAAGCUUGGAAGUAGGACUUACCCGGAUGAAGGAUAAUCUAGUGAUUGACUUCCUUGAUUCUUGAAGAUUGG